UACGUAGGGUGCAAGCGUUUAAUCGGAGUUACUGGGCGUAAAGCGUGCGCAGGCGGUGAUGUAAGACAGGUGUGAAAUCCCCGGGCUUAACCUGGGAACUGCAUUUGUGACUGCAUCGCUGGAGUGCGGCAGAGGGGGAUGGAAUCCGCGUGUAGCAGUGAAAUGCGUAGAUAUGCGGAGGAACACCGAUGGCGAAGGCAAUCCCCUGGGCCUGCACUGACGCUCAUGCACGAAGCGUGGGGAGCAAACAGG
rnacentral:rRNA from 1 species